CGUAAACGAUGAGUGCUAAGUGUUGGAGGUUUCCCCUUCAGUGCUGCAGCUAACGCAUUAAGCACUCCGCUGGGGAGUACGACCGCAAGGUUGAAACUCAAAGGAAUUGACGGGGGCCCGCACAAGCGGUGGAGCAUGUGGUUUAAUUCGAAGCAAUGCGAAGAACCUUACCAGGUCUUGACAUCCUUUGACCACUCUAGAGAUAGAGCUUUCCCUUCGGGGACAAAGUGACAGGUGGUGCAUGGUUGUCGUCAGCUCGUGUCGUGAGAUGUUGGGUUAAGUCCCGCAACGAGCGCAACCCUUAUUGUUAGUUGCCAUCAUUCAGUUGGGCACUCUAGCGAGACUGCCGGUGACAAACCGGAGGAAGGUGGGGAUGACGUCAAAUCAUCAUGCCCCUUAUGACCUGGGCUACACACGUGCUACAAUGGGAAGUACAACGAGUCGCUAGGCCGCGAGGUCAUGCAAAUCUCUUAAAGCUUCUCUCAGUUCGGAUUGCAGGCUGCAACUCGCCUGCAUGAAGCCGGAAUCGCUAGUAAUCGCGGAUCAGCACGCCGCGGUGAAUACGUUCCCGGGCCUUGUACACACCGCCCGUCACACCACGAAAGUUUGUAACACCCGAAGUCGGUGAGGUAACCUUUUGGAGCCAGCCGCCUAAGGUGGGAUAGAUGAUUGGGGUGAAGUCGUAACAAGGUAACCAAGGGCGAAUUCCAG
rnacentral:rRNA from 1 species